rnacentral:lncRNA from 1 species
AUUGAAUGAGCUUAUCCACUGUGGGAAAGAUGUAGAAUGAGGAGGCCGGUGACAAAACCCUGGGAAUAUGAACAUUUCCUAGAGGAAAAAGGGUUAGUAAAGAAGACUUAGCAGUGGCUAAAGAAAAAAGGAGAGAAAGUGAUGCUGCAAAAUUUUGUUUUAAAUGAGAAUUUCGAGGAGGGAGCAUCAAUUCUGAUAAGUGCAAUAACUACAAAGUAAAUUGGAUUAACCUUUUGAAAGCUCUCUCGUGCUACUUUUUUCGAAAGAAAAAUUUUAGAGUCACAAGAUCUAUUAUUUAUGAUUGGUACUUUUGGAGUUCCAGCAUGGAAGAAUGCACCUACUGAGAUCUUACUUAACUUUUUUAAUAACUGCAGCAGCUACCUUCACAAGGUUUUCUGGCAAACAAACUAUUGAUUAUUUAUUGCCUACAUCAGAUUAUGAAGACAUUGAUUCUGAUAUCAAGGAUGGAGCAAUUAAGCCAGCAAAUGGACAAAGACAAAAUGAUACUGGUGUUAUUGCAAGUGCCCCACAAGAAUACACAAAUAAUGACAGUUUAAUUUUGGUUCACAAAAACAACAGAAGUGAUACAACACCCACAUCAGGAUCCGGACAAGACAGAAAUAUGGAAUCACUUUUGGAUUCUGAGGAUGGAGCAGCUAAGCCAGCAAAUGGAAAAAGACAAAAUGAGUAUCUCUGA